rnacentral:lncRNA from 1 species
AAACUGUCCAACCACAGGAAAACAGCCUGGCAGAUUCAAAGUUAGGCAAAAACCUUCAGACAGUAAACAGAGUCCUCAUGGGCCCAAGGAGCAUCCAGAAAAGGCACUUCAAAGAGGUGGGAAAGCACAGCACUAGGAAAGAACAGGAUGCCCAGGCAUUUGUGGACAACGCUGCCAAAGAAAAAAGGCUUGAGGGUCCAGCCCCGAGGGAGCUGGAAUAGCCUCACAUAGUGCAGGGGCCUGAGAAGGUAGCGGGAAACACCGUCUCCACCAAGCCUCUCUACAGA